rnacentral:rRNA from 1 species
CUCCCGAACCAUACCAUCCUGAAAUCACUUGAUCCCAUUGAAUCUUGGAAGCUAAGCAAGGAUGGUUCCUGUUACUAUUUGGAUGA